UACGUAGGGGGCAAGCGUUGUCCGGAAUCAUUGGGCGUAAAGAGCGUGUAGGCGGCCAGACAGGUCCGUUGUGAAAACUCGAGGCUCAACCUCGAGAUGUCGAUGGAAACCGUCUGGCUAGAGUCCGGAAGAGGAGUGUGGAAUUCCUGGUGUAGCGGUGAAAUGCGCAGAUAUCAGGAAGAACACCUAUGGCGAAGGCAGCACUCUGGGACGGUACUGACGCUGAGACGCGAAAGCGUGGGGAGCAAACAGG
rnacentral:rRNA from 1 species